rnacentral:rRNA from 1 species
UACGUAGGGGGCUAGCGUUAUCCGGAUUUACUGGGUGUAAAGGGAGCGUAGACGGCCUUGCAAGUCUGGUGUGAAAGCCCGGGGCUCAACCCCGGGACUGCAUUGGAAACUGCAUGGCUGGAGUGCAGGAGAGGUAAGCGGAAUUCCUAGUGUAGCGGUGAAAUGCGUAGAUAUUAGGAGGAACACCAGUGGCGAAGGCGGCUUACUGGACUGUAACUGACGUUGAGGCUCGAAAGCGUGGGGAGCAAACAGG